rnacentral:rRNA from 1 species
CUCAACCGUGGAGGGUCAUUGGAAACUGGGGGACUUGAGUGCAGAAGAGGAGAGUGGAAUUCCAUGUGUAGCGGUGAAAUGCGUAGAUAUAUGGAGGAACACCAGUGGCGAAGGCGACUCUCUGGUCUGUAACUGACGCUGAGGCGCGAAAGCGUGGGGAGCAAACAGGAUUAGAUACCCUGGUAGUCCACGCCGUAAACGAUGAGUGCUAGGUGUUAGGGGUUUCGAUGCCCUUAGUGCCGAAGUUAACACAUUAAGCACUCCGCCUGGGGAGUACGACCGCAAGGUUGAAACUCAAAGGAAUUGACGGGGGCCCGCACAAGCAGUGGAGCAUGUGGUUUAAUUCGAAGCAACGCGAAGAACCUUACCAGGUCUUGACAUCCUUAUGACCGCACUAGAGAUAGUGUUUUCCCUUCGGGGACAUA